rnacentral:rRNA from 1 species
AUUGAACGCUGGCGGCAUGCCUUACGCAUGCAAGUCGAACGGCAGCACGGGAGCAAUCCUGGUGGCGAGUGGCGAACGGGUGAGUAAUAUAUCGGAACGUGCCCAGUCGUGGGGAUAACGUAGCGAAAGCUACGCUAAUACCGCAUACGAUCUAUGGAUGAAAGCGGGGGAUCGCAAGACCUCGCGCGAUUGGAGCGGCCGAUAUCAGAUUAGGUAGUUGGUGAGGUAAAGGCUCACCAAGCCGACGAUCUGUAGCUGGUCUGAGAGGACGACCAGCCACACUGGGACUGAGACACGGCCCAGACUCCUACGGGAGGCAGCAGUGGGGAAUUUUGGACAAUGGGCGCAAGCCUGAUCCAGCAAUGCCGCGUGCAGGAUGAAGGCCUUCGGUU